rnacentral:rRNA from 1 species
AUUGAACGCUGGCGGCAGGCCUAACACAUGCAAGUCGAGCGGAUGAAGGGAGCUUGCUCCUGGAUUCAGUGGCGGACGGGUGAGUAAUGCCUAGGAAUCUGCCUGGUAGUGGGGGAUAACGUCCGGAAACGGGCGCUAAUACCGCAUACGUCCUGAGGGAGAAAGUGGGGGAUCUUCGGACCUCACGCUAUCAGAUGAGCCUAGGUCGGAUUAGCUAGUUGGUGGGGUAAAGGCCUACCAAGGCGACGAUCCGUAACUGGUCUGAGAGGAUGAUCAGCCACACUGGAACUGAGACACGGUCCAGACUCCUACGGGAGGCAGCAGUGGGGAAUAUUGGACAAUGGGCGAAAGCCUGAUCCAGCCAUGCCGCGUGUGUGAAGAAGGUCUUCGGAUUGUAAAGCACUUUAAGUUGGGAGGAAGGGCAGUAAGUUAAUACCUUGCUGUUUUGACGUUACCAACAGAAUAAGCACCGGCUAACUUCGUG